CCUGCCCCUAAGUCUGGGAUACCAUUUGGAAACAGGUGCUAAUACCGGAUAAUAAAGCAGAUCGCAUGAUCAGCUUUUGAAAGGCGGCGUAAGCUGUCGCUAAGGGAUGGCCCCGCGGUGCAUUAGCUAGUUGGUAAGGUAACGGCUUACCAAGGCGACGAUGCAUAGCCGAGUUGAGAGACUGAUCGGCCACAUUGGGACUGAGACACGGCCCAAACUCCUACGGGAGGCAGCAGUAGGGAAUCUUCCACAAUGGACGCAAGUCUGAUGGAGCAACGCCGCGUGAGUGAAGAAGGUUUUCGGAUCGUAAAGCUCUGUUGUUGGUGAAGAAGGAUAGAGGUAGUAACUGGCCUUUAUUUGACGGUAAUCAACCAGAAAGUCACGGCUAACUACGUGCCAGCAGCCGCGGUAAUACGUAGGUGGCAAGCGUUGUCCGGAUUUAUUGGGCGUAAAGCGAGCGCAGGCGGAAAAAUAAGUCUAAUGUGAAAGCCCUCGGCUUAACCGAGGAACUGCAUCGGAAACUGUUUUUCUUGAGUGCAGAAAGAGGAGAGUGGAACUCCAUGUGUGGCGGUGGAAUGCGUAGAUAUAUGGAAGAACACCCAGUGGCGAAGGCGGCUCUCUGGUCUGCAACUGACGCUGAGGCUCGAAAGCAUGGGUUAGCGAACAAGAUUAGAUACCCUGGGUAGUCCCAUGCCCGUAAACGAUGAGUGCUUAAGUGUUGGGGAGGUUUCC
rnacentral:rRNA from 1 species